ACGAGGACAGAGAAAUAGGCCUUAGGUGGCUGACCUUGGCGUGACGAGGACAUGGCGGAGAGACAGAAGCAGUUAGACAGACAAAGAAUAGGAACAAAGGGGGUGGUAGAUAUUUUCCUGAGAGAGGUGAAAUUCAAUGACCAGGAAAAGAUAGACGAGAGCGAAAGCAUUCCACAAAGAUGUUUUCAUAGAUCAAGAACGAAAGUUGGGGGAUCGAAGACGAUCAGAUACCGUCGUAGUCUCAACCAUAAACGAUGCCGACUAGGGAUUGGAUGGUGGUGUGUGAGUGGUUGUGGUGGUGAUGCAUGCCUUUGUGGUGUGUGUUGUUGGCAUGACUGCUGACCAAUCGAAAAGAAGCACAUGCCAGUUAACGCUGGUGUGAAUGGACAGAAUAGACUCUUCCAGGACUUUAGCGAGAAAUCAAGAAGUUGAUGGGCUUCGGGGGGAGUAUGGUCGCAAGGCAGAAACUUAAAGGAAUUGACGGGAGGGCACACCAGGAGUGGAGCGUGCGGGUUAAUUUGACUCAACACGGGGAAACUUACCAGGGCCAGAUAGCAAGGGGAUUGACAGAUUGAGAGCUCUUUCAUGAUAUGGUAGGUGGUGGUGCAUGGUCGUUCUUAGUUGGUGGUGUGAAUUGUCUGGUUAAUUCCGAUAACGAACGAGACCUUGGCU
rnacentral:rRNA from 1 species